GGGGCUAAACCAUGCACCGAAGCUGCGGCAGCGAACGUAUCACUUAAAUUUGUUUGAGUGAAUAACGAUUGACGGAACGAAGUGACGUCAAUGCGUUAAUGAAAGUCGAGGCGAAAGCACGACAAAGCGAAUUUAAGGAUACGUUCGUUGGGUAGGGGAGCGUUCUGUAAGCCUGCGAAGGUGUACUGUGAGGUAUGCUGGAGGUAUCAGAAGUGCGAAUGCUGACAUAAGUAACGAUAAUGCGGGUGAAAAACCCGCACGCCGGAAGACCAAGGGUUCCUGUCCAACGUUAAUCGGGGCAGGGUGAGUCGACCCCUAAGGCGAGGCUGAAAAGCGUAGUCGAUGGGAAACGGGUUAAUAUUCCCGUACUGGUGGUAACUGCGAUGGGGGAACGGAGAAGGCUAGGUUGUCCGGGCGACGGUCGUCCCGGUUCAAGCAGGUAGGCAGAGUGAUUAGGCAAAUCCGGUCACUUAAUGCUGAGAUGUGAUGACGAACCACUAAGGUGGUGAAGCAAUUGAUGCCCCGCUUCCAGGAAAAGCCUCUAAGCUUCAGGUUACCAACAAUCGUACCCCAAACCGACACAGGUGGUCAGGUAGAGAAUACCAAGGCGCUUGAGAGAACUCGGGUGAAGGAACUAGGCAAAAUGGUGCCGUAACUUCGGGAGAAGGCACGCUGGCGGUAGGUAAAGUCCCUUGCGGACGGCGCUGAAGCCAGUCGAAGAUACCAGCUGGCUGCAACUGUUUAU
rnacentral:rRNA from 1 species